AAAGUGCGAUAAGUCAUGUGAAUUGCAGAUUGUGAAUCAUCGAAUCUUUGAACGCAAAUGGCGCUGCAGGGCCUAAUCCCCGCAGCAUGUCUGGCUGAGUGUCGGUGUCCUCAAUCUCCUUGAUCUCUUCUCAUGUGAGAUCAGGGAGCGUGUGGUGGGAACGCUGCCUGUCCGAUGGGGGCGAGGCAGACGGUCCUGAAGUUCAGUUUGAGAGAGAGUAGCGCUGUGUGCAGCGGUGCCUCGGGCAGCGUGUGGUGUGAUUCAAUUCAUGAAAUCAUCAUUCAGCGCGCUCGGCCGGGCACCCCUCUCCUCCCCACCCUCGUGAUGAGCGGGGGGCGGGCCCACAGGGCGAAGCACUCGAUACACACCCUAAUAAGUCAAAAGCAUAUCGACAUCAGCU
rnacentral:misc_RNA from 1 species